rnacentral:rRNA from 1 species
CCUACGGGAGGCAGCAGUCGAGAAUCAUGGACAAUGGGCGAAAGCCUGAUGCUGCGACGCCGCGUGAGGGAAUGAAGGUCUCCGGAUUGUAAACCCCUGUCAUGUGGGAGCAAAGAAGAAAGGUAGUACCACAAGAGGAAGAGACGGCGAACUCUCGGCCACCAGCCGCGGGAAUUCAGAGGUCGUAAUGGGUGUUCGGAAUCAAUGGGCUUGAAGCGUGGGGAGGAUGGUGCGUAAGGUGGGCGGGAAAGGCGCGGGGUUAAACCGCGGUCGGCAGAUGAUACUGGUGGUCUAGAGUACUGGAGGGGUAACCGGAAUGCGUGGUGUAGCAGUGAAAUGCGUAGAUAUCGCGCAGAACACUCGUGGCGAAGGCGGGUUCCUGGACAUCAACUGACGCUGAGGCACGAAGGCGAGGGGAGCGAACGGGAUUAGAUACCCGUGUAGUC